rnacentral:sRNA from 1 species
AUUCUGCCCAUACGGGGAAGGACGAGAAGCUUCGACUAGGUUCGACUCGAGCGCCAGCGAGAGAGCGUUGCCGCAGGCACGACCCGAAGGGCGAAGCGUGCAGCGCUGAGUAAUCCUUCCCCCACCACCA